UUGUAAAUAAGAAGCGGGCAGCAUUAUCUCCCAUAAAUGUAAACAAACUUGUUUGUCUUAAUGAUUGGCUGAACAAGUAGUAGGACUGAGUGGACUUGUCAGCUCUAAAUUAUGUAACAAAAGUCUGCCAUGUCUUUUAGACUGAGCUCUUUGGGUGUGCACAGCAGCUAGCACUGCGGUGGCCUUGAUCUCAUUUGAGGCUGCAAGUUGGUACUGUGACACGAAAAUGGUACUUCUGUCUGGAACCAGGGACCACAGAAGCCCAUGAAGGAAAAUAGCAAAGCAAAGAAAGUUGGCUGAACUUUCUUGAUCCUCAGGAAAAAGAACAAAUAUAGCAUAAGGAGCAGCAAUGCAAGAUUCCACCAAUGUGCCUCAGACUCCAGAGGAAUUUGAGGAUUUCUUGCAAGGCCUCAGAGGCUAAUGAGUGAAAAAUUGCAAUUUGGAUACAGCUUUUAGUGAUGUGGCCAUUUGUCUAACAGGAAUUAGAAUGAGCCCCCUUCCCUGACUGUUUCACAUAGAGCACCAAACAGUAGUAGAUCAAAACUAAGACACUUCAUAUCCACUUGG